AACGAACGCUGGCGGCAUGCCUAACACAUGCAAGUCGAACGAGACCUUCGGGUCUAGUGGCGCACGGGUGCGUAACGCGUGGGAACCUGCCCUUAGGUUCGGAAUAACUCCCCGAAAGGGGUGCUAAUACCGGAUAAUGUCUUCGGACCAAAGAUUUAUCGCCUUUGGAUGGGCCCGCGUUGGAUUAGCUAGUUGGUAGGGUAAAAGCCUACCAAGGCGACGAUCCAUAGCUGGUCUGAGAGGAUGAUCAGCCACACUGGGACUGAGAUACGGCCCAGACUCCUACGGGAGGCAGCAGUGGGGAAUAUUGGACAAUGGGCGAAAGCCUGAUCCAGCAAUGCCGCGUGAGUGAUGAAGGCGUUAGGGUUGUAAAGCUCUUUUACCCGGGAUGAUAAUGACAGUACCGGGAGAAUAAGCUCCGGCUAACUCCGUG
rnacentral:rRNA from 1 species